rnacentral:rRNA from 1 species
GGAUCAUUAUCGUGGGGCUUCGGCCCUCUCGAGAUAGAACCCUUGCCUUUUUGAGUACCUUCGUUUCCUCGGCAGGCUCGCCUGCCAAUGGGGACCCCAAUAAACCCUUUGUAAUACCUGUAAUCGUCUGACAAAACAAACAAAAAUUAAAACUUUCAACAACGGAUCUCUUGGUUCUGGCAUCGAUGAAGAACGCAGCGAAAUGCGAUAAGUAGUGUGAAUUGCAGAAUUCAGUGAAUCAUCGAAUCUUUGAACGCACAUUGCGCCCUAUGGUAUUCCGUAGGGCAUGCCUGUUCGAGCGUCAUUCAAACCUUCAAGCUCUGCUUGGUGUUGGGCGUCUGUCCUGCCUCACGGCGCGGACUCGCCUCAAAUCUAUUGGCGGCCGGCACGUUGGCUUCGAGCGCAGCAGAAACGCGAACUCGAGACCGGCGGAUCGGCUCCCAGAAGCUACCCCCAUGAAUUUGACCUCGGAUCAGGUAGGGAUACCCGCUGAACUUAAGCAUAUCAAUAAGCGGAGGAAAAGAAACCAACAGGGAUUGCCCUAGUAACGGCGAGUGAAGCGGCAACAGCUCAAAUUUGAAAUCUGGCUCUUUCAGGGUCCGAGUUGUAAUUUGCAGAGGGUGCUUUGGCAAAGGUUGUGGUCUAAGUUCCUUGGAACAGGACGUCACAGAGGGUGAGAAUCCCGUACGUGGCCGCCAACCCGCGCUAUGUAAAGCCCCUUCGACGAGUCGAGUUGUUUGGGAAUGCAGCUCUAAAUGGGAGGUAAAUUUCUUCUAAAGCUAAAUAUUGGCCAGAGACCGAUAGCGCACAAGUAGAGUGAUCGAAAGAUGAAAAGCACUUUGGAAAGAGAGUCAAAAAGCACGUGAAAUUGUUGAAAGGGAAGCGCUUGCAGCCAGACUUGCCUGUAGUUGCUCAUCCGGGCUCUUGCCUGGUGCACUCUUCUAUAGGCAGGCCAGCAUCAGUCUUGGCGGUCGGAUAAAUGCGUGCUAAA